CUCUGUACCCUGUGUGUGUACGGUGCCUGCCCUGGGAAAAAAAAAGUUUAGAUUUAAAAGAACAAAAAAAAUCUACCUGAUAUAAAUAUAGAUAUAUAUAUAUAUAUAUAACUGGAAAAAGAAAAAAUACCAUUCUUUUUAGAUGAACAUGUAAAAGAAAUGUGUGUAUUUCUUUCUUUGAUAAAGAAAAAAAUAAGAUACCUUCUGCAUGAAAUGUGUCUUUGAAUGCAAAUAUAACUUUUAGUGACACUCUUAGGAGCACACGGCAUACGUUGGAAACCGCGGAAUGAUCAAAGGACCGUCCUUUGAAUUACAUUGGGUUCAUGUUCAUAGGUCAGUGUUCCUCUUGAAUGAAGAGACCAGGGUGGCAAAUGUACACCUGCCACUUGGUAAGGCAUGGCUGAGGAAGUGUAGGCGACGACAAACUCUGAUAAACGCUGACAACAACGUAAGGGUCACAUGGGUAUGAAGUCCAAACUGCAUGGUUUAGAUCUACUUGAACUUGACUGGCAUGGAAAAACCUUUUCGCUGAGGAGAUUGGGAUGAGGAGUAGGGUACUUACACACUAGUCCUUUUUGGUGGGUCUCUUUUAACAUGGAUGAAUUGGUCCUUAACUCCCUUCCCCAUCUGAUUACAUGAGUUAAUUUAUGUUGUUCGUUGAGAUAUCUCUCGAAUAACAAAGACACAAUCCGGAAAUGUUUUUAAGAAUCAAAAUUUGUGCCCGAAAGUUUAUUCACUACAAUCGCAGGAGAUGCACCAAACAUUUGAGACGAACAAUCCUAAUUCACUCCACGAGGUCUGAUUCAUAAAGUCUUUGUGCUUUCCUGUCAAAACACAAGUGACCUGAGGAAUGCCUGAACCAAAGUACUUUAAAGUGUUAUCUGGUCAAAACGAUCCAAACUUGAGAUUCAACUUGAGAUUCAAUCAUUUCCGAAACAGAAAGGAAAAUGUCAAUUCUAACUGUUUGCUACACAUGUCCACCAAUCUGAUAAAAGGUGUUCAUAAUUUGACUGGGUGCACAUAUACAGAAAAAGGCCAUGUUUAACUUCCUAACAACUAAGUAAUCAAAAAGAGUCUUGUGGAUUCAUUACCUCACCCUAUAUGAUACUCCUCCAUCGUAGUGAACCGUACUGGGGAGUGCCCGAAGCGAGACACAAGCACCCUUUAAGAUACGCACUACAGGUUCAAGACCUUUUACUGCUGGCACUGGGAGAGGGGUCAGACCUCUAAGAUAAAACAACGUACACAGAUCUAGGGAGAUCUAAUAAAUCAGUCUGUUCAAUCUGAGCCAUUCCCCCCAACACCCCCAUCACGUUUGUUUUGUUUUCGCUCACUUUUUGCCCCAGGAUGAUGCAAAUGGUACUUUGUGUGUGUGUGUGUGUGUGCGUGUGUGUGUGUGUGUGUGUGUAGUGCUGUGUACGAAUGUGCAUCGUUUCAAAUGACGUCAUAGACAUCCAUGAUGAGCCAUGUAGGAUUAUUCUUUGCCAAGCAAGAUCUUAGAUGUUGUCCCGUAGGCAUCUUUUGAAAGGGUGUAUCGAAGGUAAACGGCGGGGUGGAGGUUGGUUUGAACACUAUGACACAGGGACAUGGAGCUGAAGGUGUGUUGUCAUGGCAAUGUUUUGUGUUGCUGUGGCCCCCUGCAGUCUCUCCAGUAAUAUAUUACGAGAAUGUAGAACUACACACGGAUGUCAUUUUUAGUGAGUGAAUUCAGAGAGAUACCAUUCCUUUUUUAUCUUUCAUUUCUGCUAACGUACAAUCCCGAAACAAUAUCACUGCUUUUUACUUGUAUGUAUUUUUUUUUUUCUUCUGUGAAUUUAAUUUCCGAACUUUGGUUGGUUUGAACGAGGUAUAAAGACUAAAGAAGUCAAUGGGAAAUUGGUGUCUUUGUCUUACGAAAACGCAGAAUUAGAAACAGCCAAAUGAUGUUGCCUUGUCCUUCAUGUAUUUUCAGAAUAUACCAUGUUGCUCAAUCUCAUUUUCCAUAGAUGAAACAUAAAGGUUGAAAAUGUGCAAGUUUGCUUCAGUAUUUGAACGUUUCUUUUGCUAUUGAGCAGAACGAUGAUGAUGAUGAUGAUGAUGAUGAUGAUGAUGAUGACGAUGUCUAGUAUUUAAAGUCGCAAUGUGCAAGAUUGAGUCCCUUCCAGUAAGUAGGUGGAAGACUUUCAGAAUUAAAAAACCUCAAUAACAGUGUUCUGACCACUCUAACUGACAGUGAACUGUGUGACGCAAAAGUAGUUUUGGGCGUAUUGAAAGUACAAUUAUUGUUAACAAAGAGAGAGGCAGGGGCUGGUCAGCCUUUUUUAUUUGUAAAAUGUAUCUUAUUAUGGGAUGUGAUUUUAUCACAACACUAUUGAAAUCAAUAUUCAUCAGCAUUGACUACAGAUUUGUCCAGGUAAGCUACGAGCUAGCUAGAAAUGUUACACAUUGCGACUUUAAAGUCCUUAGCCAGCAUUUGGUCUCGGCAACCAACCAGGAACACAGAACAUAUCCUUGUAUAUUAUCAGGAGGUAGGGCAGUGUGGGUCGACGAAAAAGACAGAAAUGUUGUGUUGUUCUUAUGGGUGUGAUGGAUGCAUCUAGGGUUAGAGUUGUGUGUCUAAUCACGACAGCCAUGGACUAUGCACUCAUGGGCAUGAAUGUAUACUGCCAACGUUAAGGGUUUUAGCAAGAUGACAUGUUGAAUCUUUCCCGCGUAUCUCUCCAGUGUCCAGCCUUUUAUUGUUUUCAUGACAAAUAAGUCUGCGUCUUAGUUUCAUCAGUGCGUGACAAACAUAGAUCAAGGUGAAUUGUUCAGGUUGUCUUGUACGGUUGUAAAUAUCUCCCUCCUGUUCAUGUAUGAUUUACCGCCAACUAUGAUCUCUGUGGGGUAUCCCAACUCUUCCGCUGUGGACAUUCCCCUCCUUUUACAUGGAAAGAUGAAAGAUGUCUCUCGUCACCGGAAUGUUCCAUCUUACAAGGAACGUAUGGGGGUGGAGAGGGUGGAAAGAACGUGCCACUUACGAGAGAGUAGAGAGACUUAGAGACAGAGAGAGAGAAAAGGGGAGUUGCUGGGUUGAAACUGAGGGGAUCCUGAACUUGAUAGUGUGGACCCCCUCUCUCUCUGUCUCUUCCUCUCUCCAUGCGUCUUGUCACUUCACUGUGGACCAUACUGAUGGACUGGACUGAUACCAGAGGUCCCGGGAGCAGACUCAGACACAAAGCACUUCUAGCACAACUGUGUCUUAUUUAGCUAUCAAAGAAAGCAUUUUCCUUUUCUAUUUUUUUUCAGAUUUUCAUUUCUAAUAAUAUAUUUUUCAAAAAUUGUUCUCUCACCCAUCCCCACCCCUUAAUGUAUAUCAAGUUAUAUGCAUUGUAAGCAUCUAUAUCUACAACGUAUCACCACCAGGAAGGCGGAUUGUUCAUGGGUCGUUUUUGGAGGUCACAUUUGCCAAAUAACGCAAAGUUUCUAUUGCUCUUAACAUUGCUGCAUUGUUUCAUAUGAACUGAUCCUGAAACUCACAACAACGGUAUUCUUAAGGGGGGGGGGGAUACGAUAACCCAUGCCCUCCACGUGCCAUCUGAUCAAGCAAUAAAUACAAACGAAGACGAAGAACGAGAAAAACUAUCAAAAACACCGAAAGAUAACAAGAUGAGGCUAAACAUUCAUUAUAGGGUUCACGGGAAAAAAAAACGGAAAAAUCGAAAAUGCUGCAUUUAACUUUCUAUCCCUUACACUGUACUGAGGUACUUAUGGUCCGUGGGCCAGACAUGUCGGCAUGGCAGCACCACUCGCAAAGCAAAAGUCAGACUAGGUGAUUGAAUGUACUAUGAUUCUGUAUUUUGUUUUUUUGGGGUACUAUUGGUUUGUUGGUGAUUUUUUUACUUAAGAAUUAACUUUUACUUUAAAAUAUACAGAGGAUCCUCUGCAUAUUUGUACAGGUGAUACAAUUGGGACAUUAUGAGAGAAAAGAGUUGGGAUGGUGGAUUGUUCUAGAGAUGCAUAUUCAAGCAGACAUGAAAGAGUACAGAAGAUUUCUUGAAUAGCUGCAGAUGGCCUUUUGGUCUUUGUUAAAAAGGCGUCUGGGUUUGGCGUCGAUGUGACUGGGCACUGGCCCCGUACCAGCGCAACUGCUUGUACAAUGUAAAAUCUGAGUAAAACACAGAAAUCACAGCUUGGCCUUGUCUUGUAGCUUAAUAUUCUUGGAGAGAAUCUGAACUUCAGUAAAUGUAAAGUUGUACAGUGUAUUUUACUGUAAAUACAAUCUGGGGGAUAUUUUUGGGAUCCUUUUGUAACAGAAGUGAGGGAUUUUCAAAUAUCGUACAUAUUUCAGGCAGGUUGCGCAGUGAUAAUGUUUCUCAACAAAACACAACCCGUAGCUGACUACCAGGCAGUCCUAUUUAUUGACCAAGUUGAUAGCUGAUCUCUGGUUAGCCCAACUCUGUUUCGGAGUAAUACGCAGUAAUCUUUCGCCGUCUUUCAUGUCUGCCUGAACACACAGUCGCUGGACAACAGGCCACCCCGGCUUGGUAGCAGCUGAGGGUGUAGCUGUGGCUAUGCUAGCACCGUCUCUACAGCAAUCCCAACCGAGCCGACUAGUUAUAGAACUAGCUAGCCAAAUGCUAGCCAAAUGCUAACUGGGUGGGGUUCGGGGGUUGGGUGGAUCGGGAACAUAGAAAGUAGGCCACUGAGCAAACAGUGCCUAGGGCCCCCUCUGGGAUACUCAAGACAUGGUGGUCUGUACAGAGAGAGAGCCGGGGGGGGUCCGAGCCCUCAGACCCUACAGGUCUGAGGGCUCGGACGUUCAUGGUAACUCGCCAAAUAGAGGGAGCUGGUCGAGUCGUCCAUUAAGGGGCCCCCUCCCCCAGCCUGCGAGCAGGGCCGUCAGCGCAGUGAGCCGUGUGCAGUCAAGAGGACCCUGAUCACCAGUAUGUCGUGCAGGGGCCGGCCGUCUAGGGCGGUUGUGCUAGGGGGCUUUUGUGAAGGUUUCACUUCUCGUUUCCUUUUACCAAUUGAAUUUUAGGAGACUGCGGAGUCACGGUGACGGGGAUGAGACGGUACUUUUGCUGGUAUGGGUGUUGUUAUUAUUCUGACUAUUAUGAUUAUUAUGAUUUUUAACCUUUUCUUUUGUACUGACAACAAUGGGAAUACUGUAUAGUUGUAAAGGUGAGAUUUCCUGCAUUAUGAUAAUGGUGACAUUGACUACAAACUGGAUGUACAUAUUGUAUCCAUUAAAAACGAUGCAAUUAAGCUUUUCUACGCUCCAA